GACGUAGGAUGCGAGCGUUAUUCGGAUUUAUUGGGCGUAAAGCGUGCGUAGGCGGUUUGUCGCGUCUGCUGUGAAAACUCGAGGCUCAACCUCGGGCUUGCAGUGGGUACGGGCAGACUAGAGUGCGGUAGGGGAGACUGGAAUUCCUGGUGUAGCGGUGGAAUGCGCAGAUAUCAGGAGGAACACCGAUGGCGAAGGCAGGUCUCUGGGCCGCAACUGACGCUGAGGAGCGAAAGCAUGGGGAGCGAACAGG
rnacentral:rRNA from 1 species